rnacentral:rRNA from 1 species
GAGUUUGAUCCUGGCUCAGAUUGAACGCUGGCGGCAUGCCUUACACAUGCAAGUCGAACGGCAGCACGGGAAGGGGCAACCCUUUCUGGUGGCGAGUGGCGAACGGGUGAGUACAACAUCGGAACGUGUCCUCUUGUGGGGUAUUAACCAGUCGAAAGACUGGCUAAUACCGCAUGAGCCCGAGAGGGGAAAGCGGGGGAUUCGAAAGAACCUCGCGCGAGUGGAGCGGCCGAUGUCCCGAUUAGCUAGUUGGUGGGGUAAAAGGCCCACCAAGGCGACGAUCGGUAGCUGGUCUGGAGAGGAUGAUCAGCCACACCUGGGACUGGGACACGGCCAGAAUCCCUACGGAGGCAGCAGGGGGGAAUUUUGGAACAUGGGGGCAACCCUGAUCCAGCCAUGCCGCGUGUGUGAAGAAGGCCUCCGGUGUAAAGCACUUCGGCGGAACGAAUCGCAGGUGAAUAUCCGUGUGGAUGACGGUCCGGAAGAAGAAACACCGGCUAAUUACG